UUAAAAACUUCCUGUCCGUCAUUUGCAGUACGUGUUGUUCUGUUCGAUAGGACACCCUUGCGCUCGCUUUCAAAGCCCCAAUUUAACGAAGAUUUUUCAGUGUUUUCCGACUUCAUCAGCAUACCACCAAUAUUUAAUUUAAUAAACAUGGACCAAAUGGAAGACCCCGCUGGAUCGGAUAAUAAACGAGCUAUAGAGCGGAAAAGGAGUUGAAGAUGCCAAAGGAGGACUUCAGAGAGGACAAGCUUUCAACAUCAGCACCGUCCAUCACUUUGUCCCUCCUCUCAUCCCCGUAACAUCAGGCACAGGCACUGGUUUAGUCCGAGACCUCAGCCCAAUACUCCAUUUAAGUCCAGC